rnacentral:rRNA from 1 species
AUUGAACGCUGGCGGCAGGCCUAACACAUGCAAGUCGAGCGGAAGGGGCGUCGGCCCCGAGAGCGGCGGACGGGUGAGGAUAGCGUGGGAAUCUGCCUGUAGAUGGGGGAUAGCCCGGAGAAAUCCGGAUUAAUACCGCAUAAUACCUGAGGGCUAAAGUGGAGGAUCGCAAGACUUCACGGCUACAGAUGAGCCCACGUCAGAUUAGCUAGUUGGUAGAGUAAAGGCCUACCAAGGCGACGAUCUGUAGCUGGCCUGAGAGGGUGGCCAGCCACACUGGAACUGAGACACUGUCCAGACUCCUACGGGAGGCAGCAGUGGUAAAUAUUGGACAAGGGGCGCAAGCCUGAUCCAGCCAUGCCGCGUGUGUGAAGAAGGCCUGCGGAUUGUAAAGCACUUUAAGUUGGGAGGAAGGUUCCAAGGCUAAUACCUCUGGGAAUUGACGUUACCGACAGAAUAAGCACCGGCUAAUUCCGUGCCAGCCGCCGCCGUAA